rnacentral:rRNA from 1 species
AUUGAACGCUGGCGGAAUGCUUUACACAUGCAAGUCGAACGGCAGCACGGACUUCGGUCUGGUGGCGAGUGGCGAACGGGUGAAUAAUGUAUCGGAACGUGCCCAGUCGUGGGGGAUAACGUAGUGAAAAUUACGCUAAUACCGCAUACGAUCUAUGGAUGAAAGCGGGGGAUCGCAAGACCUCGCGCGAUUGGAGCGGCCGAUAUCAGAUUAGGUAGUUGGUGGGGUAAAGGCCCACCAAGCCAACGAUCUGUAGCUGGUCUGAGAGGACGCCCAGCCACACUGGAACUGAGACACGGUCCAGACUCCUACGGGAGGCAGCAGUGGGGAAUUUUGGACAAUGGGCGAAAGCCUGAUUCAGCCAUUCCGCGUGCAGGAUGAAGGCCCUCGGGUUGUAAACCGCUUUUGUACAGAACGAAAAGGUUUCUACUAAUACUAGGAGCUCAUGACGGUACUGUAAGAAUAAGCACCGGCUAACUACGUGCCAGCCGCCGCCGUAA